rnacentral:lncRNA from 1 species
AUGCGCACCAUGAGCUUCUCCAGCUUCUCGGUCUUGGUGCCGUCGUGCUUCAUGAUGGUGCGGAUGCGGAAGAGGGAAGGACGUGCCGAUGAAAACAGGUACAAAGAGGGGCGCCAGCACGAAGCCCCGCAGCGCGUCCACGUUGUUGAGCCCCACAAAGCACACUCCGCUCAGCACGUCGCCGUCCACCUGGCCCAGCGCCAGGAUGGUGAUGGUCUUGAUGGCGGGCACGGCCCAGGCGGCCAGGUGGAAAUACUGCGAAUUGGCCUCGAUGGCCUCGUGGCCCCACUUCAUGCCGGCCGCCAGAAACCAGGUGAGGGACAGGAUCACCCACCAGAUGGAGCUGGCCAUGCUGAAGAAGUAGAGCAUCAUGAAGAGGAUGGUGCAGCCCUCCUUCUUGGUGCCCUGCGCCACGGUGCGUGCCCCGUCCUCGGAGAACUUGUCGUUGCACACCACCCGGUCCUCCAGCAGGAAGCCGGCGAUGUAGGCCACGGCCACCGCCGUGUAGCAGCCAGACAGGAAGAUGAUGGGCCGUUCCGGGUAGCUGAAGCGCCGCAUGUCCACCAGAUUCUUUCCCUCAUCUAAAGACAUGAUUUGUGGAACCUACUUUGGCUGAGUCUCUAUCAAAACUUUGUAGACUCUGAGCAACACUCACCAACAGUGGGAAGGAGAAGGGAAACAGAAUGGCACUGCGGAGUCCUCUGGCACCAUAGACUCUCAGCUCUGCAAACAAGUAUAAUAUUAACCAAACUACUUGGAAUAUACA